rnacentral:rRNA from 1 species
UAUUGCACAAUGGGGGAAACGCUGAUGCAGCGACGUCGCGUGAGUGAAGAAGUAUUUCGGUAUGUAAAGCUCUAUCAGCAGGGAAGAAANUGACGGUACUUGAUCAAGAAGCCCCGGCUAACUACGUGCUCGCAGCCGCGGUAAUACGUAGGGGGCAAGCGUUAUCCGGAUUUACUGGGUGUAAAGGGAGCGUAGACGGCAGCACAAGUCUGGAGUGAAAUGCCGGGGCUUAACCCCGGAACUGCUUUGGAAACUGUGCAGCUAGAGUGCAGGAGAGGUAAGUGGAAUUCCUAGUGUAGCGGUGAAAUGCGUAGAUAUUAGGAGGAACACCAGUGGCGAAGGCGGCUUACUGGACUGUAACUGACGUUGAGGCUCGAAAGCGUGGGGAGCAAACAGG